rnacentral:rRNA from 1 species
UACGUAGGGUCCGAGCGUUGUCCGGAAUUACUGGGCGUAAAGCGCGCGCAGGCGGCCCGCGAGGUGUCACGUGAAAGCCCCGGGCUCAACCCGGGAGGGUCGUGGCAAACCGGCGGGCUUGAGGCCGGUAGAGGUGGGUGGAACUCCUGGUGGAGUGGUGAAAUGCGUAGAGAUCAGGAAGAACACCCGUGGCGAAGGCGGCCCACUGGGCCGGUACUGACGCUGAGGCGCGAAGGCGUGGGGAGCAAACAGG